CAUUAUGGCCAUCCCAAGACCCUGGGAGACAGCCCCACCCAAAGGAGAAAGCGGAAGGAAGCACUGAACUACAGUUUCCCCGAGGCACCACAAUAGCUCAGAUGGAUUGAGGGGUGUCUCUCAUCUCCAAUCAAUACCUGCUGAGUUUAGGGGUUUUGGAAGUCCAGGAACCAGAGAGAACUGAGGUGGAGUCCACCGGUGGAGGUACCUUCCUGAAUGGCUGUCUGAAGGAGGACCAUAACUUCUAGGCAGGUUCCGGUGUAGAUGAAGUUCUGAGGCUUCAGGACAUCGCGUGAUUCCAGACUGAGCCUUUGCCGAGAGAAAACAAUCCAGCAAUCCCAACGCAAAGAACCCCGUACCCUGCUACAAGCAGCCCUGUGAGGAACGUGAAUGCUAUUCUCAAAUUUCCAGGUUUGCUAUUCCCAGAUUCUCAAAGCCGCAGCGACAGGACUUUCAAUACACACUUUCAGACAGCAAUGAAAAAUGAUUAUUCUCCUCCUGAGCAUCCCACAUGGUCGUCUAUCUGGAUGGUUGGAUUCAGCUGUAGGAGCUGACACUAUGAUGAGGCUGGAGAUCCAUACUGGUCUGGUCAUCCCAUUGCCAGGUCUGUGAUCCCCAAGGUGCAGAAUUGUAGAAUGAUGCAGUCCAUUUUCAGUGUUAUUUCUAAAUAUUUAGAAGAUAAAAUACCUGUAAACAAAUCUACAGUCACCUCAGUUCUGUUGACUGGAAUGGUUGACUUGAAUGGAAUUACUCCUGGAGUAAAGUGCUACUCUGUGUGAGUAAGAAAAGCAGA